rnacentral:sRNA from 1 species
CGCAAACCAUAUUGCGGGUUUUUCAGGC